rnacentral:rRNA from 1 species
AAUCAACGCUGGCGGCGUGCCUAACACAUGCAAGUCGAACGCGGAAGCCCCUUCGGGGGUAAGUAGAGUGGCGUCCGGGUGAGUAACACGUAGGUAAUCUACCUUCGGGUGGGGAAGUAACUCGCCGAAAGGACGAGCUAAUACCGCAUAAUGCAGCGGCACCUAAUGGUGAUUAGUUGUUAAAGCGGGGGAGUCUAAGACCUCGCGCCUGAAGAGGAGCCUGCGGCAGAUUAGCUAGUUGGGAGG